UAUUCUCAACCCUCCUGUGAUUUCUUUUUAAAGAUUGCAGCUGGGCUUGGACUUGGAGGUUUAUUGCUGGCAUCCUUUGUUGGAUGUGGGCUCCUCUGAAAAGCAUUAGCUGGAAUAUUGCCGAGCAUGAUUCAAUGUGAUAAUUGUCUACGUUGCUUCAACUUGGUGUUAAUUCUGUUCUAGCUUCUAAACGUCCUCUGGACAAUAUCUGAAC
rnacentral:misc_RNA from 1 species